rnacentral:lncRNA from 1 species
GUCAGUUUCAAUAGUAGUGUCAAAGUUCACUAUAUACAGACAUUCGCGCAGAUCCCCCUUUCGGAAACAUUGCUCUGCUAGUCUUCCCGUUUAAACGCAUUCAUUUUUUGGUUCUCUCUCUCUCUCUCCCUCUCUCUCUCUCCCUCUCUCUCUCUCUCUCUCUCCUUUCUUGCAUAUUCUAUUAGUUGAAGGCUGGUUUUUUUUUCUCUUUAUCUCCUUCUCUCUCCACUCCUUUUCUCCUUUUCCUGGUGCCUCUCGCUUCCUUCCUUCAUGAGACCAGAGAGAGGGAAAACUUAAAAGAAAGGGGAAAGACCGCAAAAGAAAAAGAGCAAAAAGAAAGAAAGAAAGAAAAAGAAAGAGAGAGGGGCGCCUUUUGAACAUCUUCAUAUCUUCAAUUUUUAAACACUUUUUUAUUGUUAUUUUGGGGGAGGGUUUUGUUCUUGGCUGCGGAGGUUUGUUUUCUUUUUCUUUUUCUCCUCCGAAAUUUACUUUGAAAAGAAAAGAAAAAAAGAAGAAGAAAAAUAAGAAGGUGUGUUUUUUUUCCUCCUUUCCUUCCCCUUCCUCUUGGGCGAUCUCCAGUGAUUAUUGUCAGCAGCACGGAAGAAGAAAGAAGGCGAGGAGAGAAGGAGCUGCCGCGCGAGCGAGCGAGGAAGGCGCCAGGAGGAGAGCAAGCCGGAGAAGCAGGAGAAGGGGCUUUUAUUUAUUCGACCUACUUUGGAUCUCUCGCUCGCCUUUCGGCUUUUCCCCUCCCCUCGGCGCGCGGCUGACAUUCGCUCCGCUUCUGCUCUCUCCAUGAUCGCCUUUCGCUCCGCCACUUGGCUGGGGAUCCUCGGUCUGCUGCGCCUGGGCGAAGUCGAGGGCGCUGCUGGGGUUUCUCCUUUGUAUCUUCCCCAGCGAAAUUGACGAGGGAGAGAGGCAGAGAGAAAGAGAGAAAGCGGCGCGCACGGAGAAAGACAGACACAGCUAAAGAGAGAGGGAGCCGGGCGGCAAAGCAGCGGCGGCGGCCGGAGCCCAGAACAACGGCGGCGUCGGCGGCGAGAGACCCCCAAAGUGUCUCGUCCAGUCUCCUCUCGCGUCCUCCUCGGCGUCGUCGCCCUCGGGCUGGUCGGCGGAGCUUCCCGAAGCGCCUUUCCUGCAUGGCUGACGCGCUGCCUCGGACUUGGCCCCCGGACACCCGCGCGCCCUGAGCGGCAGCCGCGCCUCGGCUCCCCGUGCGCCUUUGCCGGCCUCCCUGCGCGCCGACGGGCGCGAUCCAGCGGCGGCUCUCCCGGCCGGGCCCCAGCGGCUUCGGCAGCGAGCAGUGGCGGCGACGGAGGCGGCCGCAGCCCCGGCAGAGAGACCAGCUUCUUCACCAGCAGCAGCGGCGGCGGCAGCAGCAGCUUCGGCGGCGGCAGCAGCAGCAGCAGCAUCGCGCGGCUCCGGGCUCCUUCCUUGCUGCUGCUGCCUCUUUCGAGUCGACCGGCCGGGCGGGCGCGCCGCUAGCCCGCCGCGGACGGUGCGGGGCUGGCUGGCCAGGCAGGGUGUCCGGCGAGCCGGUCGCCUCCUCUUCCUCCCUUUCCUCCUCCUUCUCCUCCUCCUCCUGCUUCUUCCCCCCGUCGCCCUCUCUUCCCUCUCCUCCCCAGGGUCACCCUCCUGAAUGCCUCUCGCGACAGCCCGCUUCGCCCUGGCUGCUUUUGCAACUUGAAAAGGGACACGUUUCUGGGGGGGAGGGAGGGAAGGGACUGAGAGAAGAAGCAGGAGGAGGAGGAGGAAGAGAAGAAGAAGAGCGGGGGACACCAUCCUGCUAGUCCGGGGGGUGGGGGUUAAACCCUUUGGAAUUCCAUUGUCUCCCCCCCUUGCC